AAUAGAUACCCGGGUAGUCCACGCCGUAAACGAUGAGUGCUAAGUGUUAGAGGGUUUCCGCCCUUUAGUGCUGUAGCUAACGCAUUAAGCACUCCGCCUGGGGAGUACGGCCGCAAGGCUGAAACUCAAAGGAAUUGACGGGGGCCCGCACAAGCGGUGGAGCAUGUGGUUUAAUUCGAAGCAACGCGAAGAACCUUACCAGGUCUUGACAUCCUCUGCCAACCCUAGAGAUAGGGCGUUCCCCUUCGGGGGACAGAGUGACAGGUGGUGCAUGGUUGUCGUCAGCUCGUGUCGUGAGAUGUUGGGUUAAGUCCCGCAACGAGCGCAACCCUUGAUCUUAGUUGCCAGCAUUCAGGUUGGGCACUCUAAGGUGACUGCCGGUGACAAACCGGAGGAAGGUGGGGAUGACGUCAAAUCAUCAUGCCCCUUAUGACCUGGGCUACACACGUGCUACAAUGGAUGGUACAAAGAGUUGCGAACCCGCGAGGUAAGCCAAUCUCAUAGAGCCAUUCUCAGUUCGGA
rnacentral:rRNA from 1 species